rnacentral:rRNA from 1 species
GAGUUUGAUCAUGGCUCAGAGCGAACGCUGGCGGCAGGCCUAACACAUGCAAGUCGAACGGAUCCUUCGGGAUUAGUGGCGGACGGGUGAGUAACACGUGGGAACGUGCCUUUUGGUUCGGAACAACUCAGGGAAACUUGAGCUAAUACCGGAUGUGCCCUUCGGGGGAAAGAUUUAUCGCCAUUAGAGCGGCCCGCGUCUGAUUAGCUUGUUGGUGAGGUAACGGCUCACCAAGGCUACGAUCAGUAGCUGGUCUGAGAGGAUGAUCAGCCACACUGGGACUGAGACACGGCCCAGACUCCUACGGGAGGCAGCAGUGGGGAAUCUUGCGCAAUGGGCGAAAGCCUGACGCAGCCAUGCCGCGUGAAUGAUGAAGGUCUUAGGAUCGUAAAAUUCUUUCACCGGGGACGAUAAUGACGGUACCCGGAGAAGAAGCUCCGGCUAACUUCGUGCCAGCAGCCGCGGUAAUACGAAGGGGGCUAGCGUUGCUCGGAAUUACUGGGCGUAAAGGGCGCGUAGGCGGACGACUCAGUCAGAGGUGAAAGCCCAGGGCUCAACCCUGGAAUUGCCUUUGAUACUGGUCAUCUUGAGUACGGGAGAGGUGUGUGGAACUCCGAGUGUAGAGGUGAAAUUCGU